rnacentral:ncRNA from 3 species
GACCGUCGUGAGACAGGUUAGU